GAGUUUGAUCUUGGCUCAGAUUGAACGCUGGCGGCAUGCCUUACACAUGCAAGUCGAACGCGAAAGCGGGGCAACCCGCAAGUAGAGUGGCGAACGGGUGAGUAAUACAUCGGAACAUAUCCAGUAGCGGGGGAUAACCUGUCGAAAGAUAGGCUAAUACCGCAUACGCCCUACGGGGGAAAGCGGGGGUCGCAAGACCUCGCACUAUUGGAGUGGCCGAUGUCGGAUUAGCUAGUUGGCGGGGUAAAAGCCCACCAAGGCGACGAUCCGUAGCUGGUCUGAGAGGACGACCAGCCACACUGGAACUGAGACACGGUCCAGACUCCUACGGGAGGCAGCAGUGGGGAAUUUUGGACAAUGGGCGCAAGCCUGAUCCAGCCAUGCCGCGUGAGUGAAGAAGGCCUU
rnacentral:rRNA from 1 species